GAUCCUGGCUCAGAACGAACGUUAGCGGCGCGCUUAACACAUGCAAGUCGUGCGAGAAAGGGAGCAAUCCCCGGUAAAAGCGGCGCACGGGUGAGUAACACGUAGGUAACGUGCCCCCAGGUGGUGGAUAACCUUCCGAAAGGAGGGCUAAUACAGCAUAAGACCACGGCUCCGAAAAGGGGGCUGAGGUCAAAGUCGGCCUCUAUUCAUAAGCUGACGCCAGGGGAUCGGCCUGCGGCCCAUCAGGUAGUUGGUAGGGUAACGGCCUACCAAGCCAAAGACGGGUAGCUGGUCUGAGAGGAUGAUCAGCCACACUGGAACUGAGACACGGUCCAGACUCCUACGGGAGGCAGCAGUGGGGAAUCUUGCGCAAUGGGCGAAAGCCUGACGCAGCGACGCCGCGUGGGUGAUGAAGGCCUUCGGGUUGUAAAGCCCUGU
rnacentral:rRNA from 1 species